CAUGGCAAAUAUGGCGGCGCUCGUGUAGUUUCCCGCCAAGGAACAGCUUUAGUAGGACCAUUCUCGUAUGGCGUAGAUAACCGACACUUGUCUUUUAUUUGUCCAUAUUAUUUUAAAGUCAUUGUUCAUAAUAUUCAACGUGAAAAAUGGGAGAAUCGGAAGAUAUGGAGGAUUCAACUUAUAGUAGACAUCAAGAUUUAUGUCAGAAAUUAAAUAUGGAUGCAACUGCUGCUUCUGAAGCUUGGAGAUCAUACGAAACAAUUCGACAAAAUUAUACCUUGGAGGGUGAUCAACUUCAUUGGAUAGGAUGUGCUUUAUAUGUUGCAUGCAGAAAAUCUUCGACGCCUACCGUUGGAAGAACAGGUAGCAAUGUAGAAGGAAAUGGUGUAUCUUUGACUCGUCUUUUACAAUUAUGCAAUCUACCAUUGAUACAAUUCUUUACGAAAAGUAAAUCUUGGGCAGACAUGGCUAGCAUGCCACAAGAUUUCAGAGAAAAGAUUGAUAAAUUGGAAGGAAACUUUUCAGUUUCUAUGGUUAUUUUUAAAAAGUAUCAGCCAAUUUUUACUGACAUUUUUAAGGAUCCAUCCGAUGACAUUUCAAGACCAUCAAGAUCGAGGAGAAAUAAAUCAUAUCCUUGUACUCCGUCAAGAGUAUUUGAAUUUUGUUGGACAUUAUUUAUUUGUAUAAAAGGAGCAUUUCCUGACAUAUCUGAUGAUUUAGUUAAUUCUUAUCAUUUACUUUUGGCUUGUUGUGAUCUUAUAUAUGCCAAUGCUUUAAUGGCAAAUAGGAAAGAUCUUUUAAAUCCUAAUUUUCCUGGUUUGCCAGGAAAUUUCAACGAUGAAAAUUAUAUACCACCACAAAAUCCAAAUUGUAUUAUUAAUUUAUUAUGCGAACGUCAUGAAGCUGUUGCCGUUGAAGCAAAAUGUAUCAAAGAAUAUCACUUGAAGAAUCAUAUUAAUAAGUUAUUUAAUGAAAGAAUUCUUCGUGGAGAACAAUCUAAUUUUUCUGGUAUUUUAGAAGCUUCAAAUUUUGAUGGAAAUAGUAAAGCUGUUAAUAAAACAUAUGAGCAAUAUGUAUUGAGCGUUGGAGACUUUGACGAAAGAAUAUUUUUAGCUGAAUGGAGGAGAGUGAGACUAGGCGGGAUAUCAAGCUUGGAAAUAGUUGGAGGAGAUAUUGUUUGUCGUACUAAAUUUGCAAAACCUAUGCCUGUCAGAGGUCAAGAUGCUAGUGAUAAUAUUGGUUCACCUGCACAGGGUGGUAGUAGUAGUAGCGAUGUUCACGAUCAGUUUCAGUCAAGACGAGAUCAUUAUACAGGACAAAUGCAACAUUUAGCUCCUCCAACUCCACUAACAGGUCGCAAAUAUCUCAAACCAAAGGAUGUGUCAAGCAUAACUCCAGUUUUUACAGCUACUCAAAGUGUAAUACGCCUUCAAGCAAUGUUAGCUGGUCAAUCUUCACCCAGCGCAAAUUUAUUACAAAUAUUCAAUAAUUGCACGCAAGAUGUUAAAACAUUUGUAACAACGAAAGUAAAAGAGAUAGGGGAACAAUUUUGUGCCAAUUACACCAAAAGUUCAGAUACUAAUGAAAACACGACUCUAGAUUUUGGAAGGAAACGUCUUUGUUUAGGACAAACUCUUUUUUACAAAUUUUUAGAAAUGAUUAUUAAUGAUGAAAAACAUAAAAAGCCUAAUUAUGAUAUUACGAAUUUACUUAUGAAUGAAAGAUUUAUACGAUGUUUGUUCGCGUGUUGCUUAGAAAUAGUUAUUUACUCAUAUAAAAGUAAUGAUAAGAUGUUUCCAUGGAUAUUAAAAGCCUUGGAUUUAGAAGCUUACUAUUUCUAUAAAGUUAUAGAAAUAAUAGUACGAGCAGAAGAACAAUUACCGCGUGAUGUUGUAAAGCAUUUAAGUCAAACAGAAGAAAGAAUAUUAGAAGCUUUAGCUUGGAAAAAAAAUAGUCCAUUAUGGCAAGCAAUUGAAUCUACCAUUGGUGAAGUACCUAGUUGUGAAGAUGUUUCUUUACCUGGUACAUUAGAAAUAAUAGAACAAAAUAAUGCUGGACAACCAAUAUUAAAAAGAAUUACUGUUGAUCGUAGUGGACAUAAUGAUGUACCACAAAGUCCAAUUUCUUCUGCAUCCGAUAGAUUCCAAUCACCAAUAACGGCAUCUGGUAUUGCUAAAAAGCGUUUAUUUCCUGAUACUAGAUCAACCGGACAAAGUGUUUUACGUGUAUCUUCAAAAGUUGUAAUUGAUGGCAAUUCACGAAUACUUUUAACAUUACCUGAUCAACUUACAGUACCAAAAACUUCAACUCCACAAGCAACUAUUAAUGUAUCACAAAGUUCGUCGAUUACUAAGGAAGCUGGAAAACCAAAAAAAACUGGUUCUGUCGCGUUAUUUUUUAGAAAAUUCUAUAAUCUCGCAUGUGUACGUAUGCAGGACCUUUGCAAUUCCUUGGAUAUUACAGACAUAGAUUUACAGAAAAAAAUAUGGACAAUAUUCGAAUAUUCGAUAAAGGAACGUACUGAGUUAAUGAGAGACAGACAUUUGGAUCAAAUUCUUAUGUGUGCAGUUUAUGUGAUAUGUAAAUUAGUUAAAAUGGAAAAAAAUUCUUUUACCGAAAUCAUGCGAUGUUAUCGUUUACAACCACAAGCUGAGUCUCACAUAUAUAGGUCAGUACUUAUUUGCAAAGGACCACAAGAAAUAAAAGCACACACUGAAGCAUCAGGAAGUAACGAUAUUCAAAUGGAUGAAGAAGCAAAUGUGGCACCUCCAACACCAACAAAUAUGGCUGGAACAUCACAAGAUUAUGGAACUGAGAGACGUGGAGAUUUAAUUAAAUUUUAUAAUACAGUUUAUGUGCCACAAGUUAAAGAAGUUGCUAAUAAAUUAGGAUUGGCUCGUGGAAGUACUCAAACUCUUACGUUAAGUCCAUUACCUAAAAGUAAAGUGUGCACUAAUUCUCCAGUGAGACGUGUUACAGACAGUAUUUUAACACGUACGCUUGAUAUCAAAGCAAUGAAUGCAUCACCUGCACCACAAUUAAGUUAUUGCUUUAGUCGCAGUCCAGCUAAGGAUUUAGAAGCUAUUAAUAAAAUGAUGAUUUCAAUAAGUGCAAAAAAGAUUGUCAACAAACGACUUUUAUCAGACGAUACGACUGAUGUAGAGAUGACGGAUGGCGGGCCCUCACCGAUUAAAAAAUCAACGACAGUUGUUAGAAAAUUGGAAAACAUUAUGGACGAACGUCGUACAAAAACACAAUAAUUAAAAAUAUUACUAAUUGCUGCUAAUAUUAUUCAUGAGAAUAAGAUACUGACUGAACACAAUUAUGUGUGCUUCAUGCUGAUGGAAACAUCAUAUAAAACUAAAACGUUCAGCAAUUUGUUUUAAAACCAGAAGUGAUCACUUGGAAAUUUUGAAUCAUCUAUAACUUGAAAACUAAGAAAGUGGUAUAAAAAUAAUCCACCAGCUGAAUUGGAUUUUCAUUCAAGUUUGCUAAAGGAGAAAAAACCUUCGGUUCAUGCACAG